rnacentral:misc_RNA from 1 species
GAUGAAGAACGCAGCGAAAUGCGAUAAGUAAUGUGAAUUGCAGAAUUCAGUGAAUCAUCGAAUCCUUGAACGCACAUUGCGCCCGCCAGUAUUCUGGCGGGCAUGCCUGUUCGAGCGUCAUUACAACCCUCAGGCCCCCGGGCCUGGCGUUGGGGAUCGGCGGAAGCCCCCUGCGGGCACAACGCCGUCCCCCAAAUACAGUGGCGGUCCCGCCGCAGCUUCCAUUGCGUAGUAGCUAACACCUCGCAACUGGAGAGCGGCGCGGCCACGCCGUAAAACACCCAACUUCUGAAUGUUGACCUCGAAUCAGGUAGGAAUACCCGCUGAACUUAAGCAUAUCAAUAAGCGGAGGA